GAAGGAUAUGGGGACGUUACAAACACGACCACCGCCGCAUCCUACGCGCUGCACAACGAAAUGGCGCGGCCAGCUGUUACCCAAGCGAUCUGAUACGACUCGGACAAUGGACGCACACAAGUGCUGCAUUGUGCCCAGGCCCGUGUGUGUGUGUGCGCGCGGCUGCGGGCGCGGCCCAGCGCCCCACAGCCUGUCUAGUGUAACGAGGCCGCUGGGGCUACUGGCCAUAAGCCCCGCUGGACCAGAGAGGAGAGGAGCAGCCACGCCGCUGCAGCGCACGCCGAGCCGCGGCCCGAGAGCGCCUUACGACUCGUGGGUCAAAACCUUUGUUUUCGUCCCAACCAGCGAUGUGCCUAGUGGCAUCGCAUUCGGAGGAUUUGCAGGGUUCGGCCUGCUAACCCAUUGACGUCAUCCCUCCGCGGAGCGCCACGGAUCAUGUGUUUAUCACUUCCCCGGACCACGCCAUUCAUCCCGAACUGCAACUGCACACAGCGCCGCCGUCCGCUUCCUCCUAUACCCAGAAGCGGAGCGCGCGACCUGGAGCCUGGAGCCAGGCGAACUGCACAAUAAAGCGCGCAAAACUG